rnacentral:rRNA from 1 species
AGUUAAAAAGCUCGUAGUUGGAUUUCUGCGGGGGCGGGGCGGCCGGUUGCUUAUAGCAACUCGAGCUAGCACUUCCCCUGCAUCCUGCCGCGAACCGUGCUACCAUUAGUUUGGUGGCGCCGGGGAUCGGCUCGUUUACUUUGAGAAAAAUAGAGUGUUCAAAGCAGGCCACACGCCUUGAAUAAGUUAGCAUGGAAUAAUGAUAAAGGACUUCGGUUCUAUUUUGUUGGUGUUCGGGACUGAAGUAAUGAUUGAUAGGGACAGUUGGGGCGGUCAGUAUUCCAAAGCGAGAGGUGAAAUUCUUAGACCUUCGGAAGACUAACAGCUGCGAAAGCGUUCCGCAAGGAUGUUCCCUUUGAUCAAGAACGAAAGUUGGGGGAUCGAAGACGAUCAGAUACCGUCGUAGUCUCAACUAUAAACUAUACCAGCUAGGGAUCGGCCGACGUUUACUUAUAUCGACUCGGUCGGCACCUUAUGAGAAAUCAAAGCAUCUGGGUUCCGGGGGGAGGAUGGUCGCAAGGCUGAAACUUAAAGGAAUUGACGGAAGGGCACCACCAGCCGUG